rnacentral:lncRNA from 1 species
CUCACCGGUAGCGGCCUCAGCCGGGCCCGCUCGGCCCCGCUCUCUCCUCCGCUGCUGGGACGCGUCUCCUCUGGGAGCCGGGAGGGGCAAUGACGGCAAAACAAGGUGAGCAGGAGGAACCUGUGGCUGAUCAGAGCCCAGUCAGCACGGAGACACUGCUGUCUGUGGCUCCACUGGCACUGCCCUCUGACCCGAGCCUGCUCUGUAUGCUGAAAAGGAACGGAGCAUGGAAAUAAAAUAGCGGCC